rnacentral:rRNA from 1 species
UGAGGAAUAUUGGUCAAUGGGCGGGAGCCUGAACCAGCCAAGCCGCGUGAGGGAGGAAGGCCCUAUGGGUCGUAAACCUCCUUUGUCAGGGAACAAAAGCGAGUAUGUAUACUAGUCUGAGUGUACCUGAAGAAAAAGCAUCGGCUAACUCCGUGCCAGCAGCCGCGGUAAUACGGAGGAUGCGAGCGUUAUCCGGAUUUAUUGGGUUUAAAGGGUGCGUAGGCGGCGGUGCAAGUCAGCGGUAAAAGCCCGGGGCUCAACCCCGGCGAGCCGUUGAAACUGCAGUGCUAGAGAAGGCGAGAGGUACGCGGAAUGCGCAGUGUAGCGGUGAAAUGCUUAGAUAUUGCGCAGAACUCCGAUUGCGAAGGCAGCGUACUGGCGCCUGACUGACGCUGAGGCACGAAAGCGUGGGGAUCGAACAGGAUUAGAUACCC